rnacentral:rRNA from 1 species
UACGUAGGUGGCAAGCGUUGUUCGGAAUUAUUGGGCGUAAAGGGCGCGUAGGCGGCUUGUUAAGUCGGCUGUGAAAGCCCGGGGCUCAACCCCGGAGGGUCAGCCGAUACUGGCAGGCUAGAGUACGGAAGAGGUAGCUGGAAUUCCCGGUGUAGCGGUGAAAUGCGUAGAUAUCGGAAGGAACAUCAGUGGCGAAAGCGACCUCCUGGACCAAUACUGACACUCAAGUGCGAAAGCGUGGGGAGCAAACAGG